AUACGAAAGGUGCAAGCGUUGUUCGGAUUUACUGGGCGUAAAGAGAUCGUAGGUGGUUUAUUAAGUCGGAUGUGAAAUCCCGGGGCUCAACCCCGGAACUGCAUUCGAUACUGGUAGACUAGAGUUUGGGAGGGGUAAGCGGAAUUCCGUGUGUAGCAGUGAAAUGCGUAGAUAUACGGACGAACACCUGAGGCGAAGGCGGCUUACUGGACCAAUACUGACACUGAGGAUCGAAAGCGUGGGUAGCAAACAGGAUUAGAAACCCUAGUAGUCC
rnacentral:rRNA from 1 species